rnacentral:rRNA from 1 species
GACGGAGGAUGCAAGUGUUAUCCGGAAUCACUGGGCGUAAAGCGUCUGUAGGUGGUUCGAAAAGUCCACUGUUAAAAAUUGAAGCUUAACUUCAAAGAUGCCGUGGAAACUUUUAAACUUGAGUAUGGUAGGGGUAGAGGGAAUUUCCAGUGGAGCGGUGAAAUGCGUAGAUAUUGGAAAGACCACCAAUGGCGAAGGCACUCUACUGGGCCAUUACUGACACUGAGAGACGAAAGCUAGGGGAGCAAAUGGG